AAAAGGCGCGAUUUAGUUGUGAAGAUGUCAGAUUGGUUAUAAAAACAUACGUUUGGCUGCACUGCUUCAAGUUUAAAAGUGUUGUAAACGUAAACUGUUGUAAACUAUCGAAAUUUAUUUGAAAAUUAUGAGCUUGAGUAAAAGCUACAGCUGUUAAAAUGGAUCAAGAGGGCAAUAAUACCACCUGGAAAAAAUCUCUACAUUACUUGGCAAAGAGAUAUGAAUUAAGAAGUAGUUUUGUUUUAAAACAAUCAACCCCUUCAAAAUCAUCAAGUGCCUCAUUAAAAAAUGAUUUACAAGAGAUAAAAUCCAAUAUUCACAAUAAAUUGAAUAAAAAUACAGAAAAAAAUUCACCUCUGGCUAAUGGAUUAACUGAUGCAAGCCCUUCAAGUACACAAUCGGUUUCUUUUCAUCACAUUUUUUUCUCUAGUUCAUCUGUCCUAAGUACCUUUAGUGAGUGUGAUAUUUUCACUGAUAAAACAGACACUCAAAUUGCAAGUGAUAAUUUCCCACAAUCACAAACAGACUGUGAUCUAAGUGUGAUGACAAUUGUGGCAAAGUAUGUAAAUGUCAAAGAUAUUAAUAUGACUGAUGAGGAAAUUAGACUUGUCCAUGCUUUUGUAACAAACAGAAUUGGUAGUAAACUUUGUGGUACCCUCUUUAAUAAAGAUACUCACUAUGUCUUGGGUUUGGAUGAACAUAGUAGGUAUUGGAAAAGGUGUUCCUGCACUGAAAUUCGUAAAAUAAAAAAAUAUUUUCCAAAAAAUAUCCGAAAAUAUUACAUUAAAUACCUCCAUAAGAUUAUAUAUUUAAAUAAUCUAUCUCAGCAAUAUGAAAAGUGUGAGAUUUUAGUAAGGAAGAAAAUGGAAAUGCUUUAUAAGAAAUUGGAAGAAAACGCUGAUGAAAGUACAAGGAAUCUAAUUAUAAAGCAAUAUAAAAUUGUAUGUAAUCGUUUUGGUAAAAUUGAUGUACAACAUGCAAUGAAAAGGGUUCGACUGCAGAUACAGAACAAUUUAAUUUAAUAAAGACAGUCAUUUUCA